AGAAUCAACGCUGGCGGCGUGCCUAACACAUGCAAGUCGCACGAGAAAGGGGAGCAAUCCCUGAGUAAAGUGGCGCACGGGUGAGUAACACGUGAAUUAUCUACCUCCGAGUGGGGAAUAACUGAGAGAAAUCUUGGCUAAUACCGCAUAACACUUACGAGUCAAAGCAGCAAUGCGCUUGGAGAGGAGUUCGCGGCCGAUUAGCUAGUUGGCGGGGUAAUGGCCCACCAAGGCGAUGAUCGGUAUCCGGCCUGAGAGGGCGCACGGACACACUGGAACUGAAACACGGUCCAGACUCCUACGGGAGGCAGCAGUGGGGAAUUUUGCGCAAUGGGGGAAACCCUGACGCAGCAACGCCGCGUGGAGGAUGAAGCCCCUUGGGGUGUAAACUCCUUUCGAUCGGGAAGAUAAUGACGGUACCGAUAGAAGAAGCCCCGGCUAACUUCGCGCCAGCAGCCGC
rnacentral:rRNA from 1 species